rnacentral:rRNA from 1 species
GACGAACCGUGCGAACGUUGUUCGGAAUCACUGGGCUUAAAGGGCGCGUAGGCGGUCAAUCAAGUCUGGGGUGAAAUCUUUCGGCUUAACCGGAAAAGUGCCUUGGAUACUGAUUGGCUCGAGGGAGGUAGGGGCAGCUGGAACUUCCGGUGGAGCGGUGAAAUGCGUUGAUAUCGGAAGGAACGCCGGUGGCGAAAGCGAGCUGCUGGACCGUUUUCUGGACGCUGAGGCG